rnacentral:tRNA from 1 species
UCUAAUAUGGCAGAAUAGUGCAUUGGAUUUAAACCCCAAAAAUAAAGUUAAUCUUUUUUUAGAA